UGGUCGGUACAAAGGGUUGCUACACAGCGAUGUGAUGCUAAUCUCAAAAAGCCGAUCGUAGUCCGGAUUGGAGUCUGCAACUCGACUCCAUGAAGUCGGAAUCGCUAGUAAUCGCGGAUCAGAAUGCCGCGGUGAAUACGUUCCCGGGCCUUGUACACACCGCCCGUCACACCAUGGGAGUUUGUUGCACCAGAAGUAGCUAGCCUAACUGCAAAGAGGGCGGUUACCACGGUGUGGCCGAUGACUGGGGUGAAGUCGUAACAAGGUAGCCGUAGGGGAACCUGCGGCUGGAUCACCUCCUUA
rnacentral:rRNA from 1 species